GACGAACGCUGGCGGCGUGCCUAAUACAUGCAAGUUGAGCGAUGAAGAUUGGUGCUUGCACCAAUUUGAAGAGCAGCGAACGGGUGAGUAACGCGUGGGGAAUCUGCCUUUGAGCGGGGGACAACAUUUGGAAACGAAUGCUAAUACCGCAUAACAACUUUAAACAUAAGUUUUAAGUUUGAAAGAUGCAAUUGCAUCACUCAAAGAUGAUCCCGCGUUGUAUUAGCUAGUUGGUGAGGUAAAGGCUCACCAAGGCGAUGAUACAUAGCCGACCUGAGAGGGUGAUCGGCCACAUUGGGAAUGAGACACGGCCCAAACGCCUACGGGAGGCAGCAGUAGGGAAUCUUCGGCAAUGGACGAAAGUCUGACCGAGCAACGCCGCGUGAGUGAAGAAGGUUUUCGGAUCGUAAAACUCUGUUGGUAGAGAAGAACGUUGGUGAGAGUGGAAAGCUCAUCAAGUGACGGUAACUACCCAGAAAGGGACGGCUAACUACGUG
rnacentral:rRNA from 1 species